UGUAACUGUGCCCAGGAGGGUGGGGCUCCUGCCUGCUCCCUGCUUCCGCUGGCUUCGUGGAGCAGGGCACUACCCUGGGCCCAGCUCUGCCUUGGAACCCCUCUAUGCCCUUCCCUCCAUGUCUAACCACGCUGCUCCCCCAUUGGCGGGUGACUGGGUGCGGCCUCAUUGCGGUAGCAGGGUGAUACCAGGGCAGCAGGCUCUCGGGGGAGUGCCAGGGGUGGACUCUAGGGACUGACUGUCUCCUCUCUGUGUUUCCCCUCAGCGGAGGCGCAGCGGCCCUGGCCAACUUUGUACAAAGGAACCCGACACAGUGGAGGCUCUGGACCUGGAAGUGGGUCCUGCCCGGCCAUGCAAAGACUCAAACUGAAGCAUUGCUCUUCCUGGAUCUCCAGCCUGCCAGCCUUUUGACUAGAGCUAAACCAUCAGCUCUACUGGGUCUCCAGUUUUCCAGGUCACCCUACAUAUCCUGGAAUAUGCCUGCAUACCUGCCUCUAAAAUAAUGUCAUAUAUGUAUGUGUUCAAAGGCAGUCAGACAGGAAGAAUUCCUCUUUACUUCCAGGAGAGUCACCCUUUUGGUUCUAUUCAGGCCUUCAACUGAUUGCGUGAGUCCCAUUCACAUUAGGGAAGGCAAUCUGCUGUACUCAAUCUGCCAAUUUAAAUUUUAAUCUCAUCUGAAAACACCCUCACAGACACACACACACACACACAGACACACACACACACACACAAAGUAAUUUUUCAUCAGACAUCUGGGUUUCCUGUGGCCCCAUCAAUUGGACACAUAAAAUUGGCAUCACAAAGAGCUACUUAUUAUUUAUUUUUUCCACUAUUUCCACUGAACUUUGUAAGUAAAACCAUAGCCUUGCUUUUAAUAAUGUUUUUUCAUUUUACAUCAACUUUAUUUAUUUUACAAUUUAUAGAUUCCUUCAUAAUCGAUGUUCCAUUUAUUUCUUAAGAUCUGUUAAUUUAAUAACAUAUAACAUGUUUACUAUUGUAUAGAUAGAAUUUGAACUAAUUGCAGCAUAAAUUGCAUAAUAUCUUAGAUGAAAUCGCAUUGCUUCUAGUAAAAUAACUUUAAAGAUUGCCAAUCAGAGGUUCUUAAUUGAUUAAGUAUAAUAGUUUCUGGUAAAUAUUUUGUAAGUAAUUUGUGGACCCACAAACAAAAAUCAAUAAUUUAACAGCUAGCUGGAGCUUAAACUAGUUUACCUAAUGUUAAUUUGUAUAGAAAGAGGUAUGCUUUUGACUAGGAAAAACAUGUUAGUAUAACAGCCUUGUAUCUCAAAGCCAACUCCUCCACCAUCACUACCCCCAUCUACACACACACACACAAAAUCUAGGAGGGAGAAAUUUGGGCAAAUAUUUUUUCAUUUUAUAUUGUAAGAUGUGUAUUACGUAACAUAUUUUUAUAUGUUAUCAUUCAUGGGUUUUACAGAAAAAUGCUGUGUCAUUUUGUUUUUCCAGUAAAAGUCAUUAUUCAACAAUACGUUUGUCCUGAAACAUGUAGCAUCUUAUGCUACAAAUAGAGUGAAA
rnacentral:lncRNA from 1 species